UACGUAGGGGGGCUAGCGUUGUCCGGAAUCAUUGGGCGUAAAGAGCGUGUAGGCGGCCCGGUAAGUCCGCUGUAAAAAGUCAAAAGGCUCAACCUUUGAAUGUCAGUGGAUACUGCCGGGCUAGAGUCCGGAAGAGGCGAGUGGAAACUCCUGGUGUAGCGGUGGAAUGCGCAGAUAUCAGGAAGAACACCAACGGCGAAGGCAGCUCGCUGGGACGGUACUGACGCUGAGACGCGAAAAGCGUGGGGAGCGAACAGG
rnacentral:rRNA from 1 species